UAGUUUAGUCUUUUGAGCAGUGCAUGGUGGUGUAUUUCGAGUGGUUUUCAAAUGAAGGAGGAAUAUUUGUCGCAUGAUACCUGACCCAGUGAAGUGAGGGAUAAUGGGACACCACUCCUCUGACAGCUAGGAGGACAGCCAUAGCAGGAGGAAGAAGAAGGAAAAUCACGGAAGGCGCUCCUAUUCCUCCAGCUCCUCCGGUAGCCAGGUGACCAGCCACAGAAAGAGGUCCAGCAGCUGCUCCAGAGACAGAGACAGGAGACGCAGGCGGCGGUCCAACAGCAGCUCGUCCCGAAGGAGGAGGGAGCGGAGAUGGAGACCGAGGCAGGACCAACCGCUCCCAUAGGACAUGCAGCCGCACCCGCAGGUCUCGUGAGCGGCGGCGUUCUCGCAGCAGGAGCAGCGGCCGGUCCAGCCGCAAGAAGAGCCACAGCCACAGCCGAGACCGCAGCCGGCUGAAGGGCCGCGACAAAGACAAGGAGAAGAACAGGGACCUAGACAAUGGCAGGGACCGAGACCAGGGCAGGGACUUAGACGAGGGCCGGGACCGAGACAAGGACAGAGCCAAAGCCAAGAGGUCCGACAAACAAGGAAUACACACACGGACGGACGGGACGGGACAGAUGGGACGACCGACCGAUCGGACCGGGACAGGCGG